rnacentral:lncRNA from 1 species
GCACAGUCCCAUGAGCUUUCAGUUGUGAAGUGGAGCAAAUUUUUGCAUCAGGUCUUCCCUCAAUAGAACAGGAGGUGUGAGAUGCUUUGAGGACUUCAGUGAAGGUGAAAAGAAAUGUAUUCAAGUAAUCAAAACAAAGUUGGAAAAGUCAGAAAAGGCAGUGACGUACCAAAAUAAUUGUGUCAGAGGGUAAAUUCCAGUCUCAAGCUUGAAAAGAAAUGUGAACAACAACAAAAAAAAACUAUAAGAAUGGCAAUUCUACAGGCAAAACGUCCUUCAAAACCUUGUAAAAUAAGAAUCUAGAUGAUCUACAACAAAAGGGUGGCUCUGCUGCUCCAUAGAUAGAAUUUGGAGAUAGAAUUUAAUGGAAAUCUCUUCUUGUGUUCUUCAAAAACAACGUGUUGGUUCUGCACAGUACUUUCUGCCAUGUUUAUUAAUUGUUUAAGGAAUAACUGGCAAUUUUACAAGUAGUUGAUUAAAGAUAUAAAUAGUAAAAAAGAACAAUCUUGAAAACAAGUUGCAUCUUCCUAAUUGGAUACUGACAUAAAACCAGGUACACAGCUGCUUAGUUAAGAGUUUUUGGUAUGUAGCAAUUGUAAUGCAAGGUGAGGUGGAAUUUUGCAAGGAGAGUGAAUUGAUUCAGAUGUCAUAACCAACACCGGG